rnacentral:tRNA from 1 species
GGCGGAGUGGUCCAGUGGUAAGAUACUCGCCUGGAUUGCCUGUCAUCGUCGUUUGGUUCGACCCUAUAUUUGAAUGACUUGCCAUGAAAGCGAGAGAUUCAGGUUCGAUUCCUGACUACGUCA